rnacentral:rRNA from 1 species
AACGAACGCUGGCGGCAGGCCUAACACAUGCAAGUCGAGCGGGCAUCCUUCGGGAUGUUAGCGGCGGACGGGUGAGUAACGCGUGGGAACGUGCCAUUUGCUACGGAAUAGCCUCGGGAAACUGAGAGUAAUACCGUAUGUGCCCUUCGGGGGAAAGAUUUAUCGGCAAAGGAUCGGCCCGCGUUGGAUUAGGUAGUUGGUGGGGUAAUGGCCUACCAAGCCGACGAUCCAUAGCUGGUUUGAGAGGAUGAUCAGCCACACUGGGACUGAGACACGGCCCAGACUCCUACGGGAGGCAGCAGUGGGGAAUCUUAGACAAUGGGGGAAACCCUGAUCUAGCCAUGCCGCGUGAGCGAUGAAGGCCUUAGGGUUGUAAAGCUCUUUCAGUGGGGAAGAUAAUGACGGUACCCACAGAAGAAGCCCCGGCUAACUCCGUG